rnacentral:rRNA from 1 species
GACGAACGCUGGCGGCGUGCUUAACACAUGCCAGUCGAACGGAAAGGCCCUGCUUUUGUGGGGUGCUCGAGUGGCGAACGGGUGAGUAACACGUGAGUAACCUGCCCUUGACUUUGGGAUAACUUCAGGAAACUGGGGCUAAUACCGGAUAGGAGCUCCUGCUGCAUGGUGGGGGUUGGAAAGUUUCGGCGGUUGGGGAUGGACUCGCGGCUUAUCAGCUUGUUGGUGGGGUAGUGGCUUACCAAGGCUUUGACGGGUAGCCGGCCUGAGAGGGUGACCGGCCACAUGGGGACUGAGAUACGGACCAGACUCCUACGGGAGGCAGCAGUGGGGAAUAUUGCACAAUGGGCGGAAGCCUGAUGCAGCAACGCCGCGUGCGGGAUGACGGCCUUCGGGUUGUAAACCGCUUUCGCCUGUGACGAAGCGUGAGUGACGGUAAUGGGUAAAGAAGCACCGGCUAACUACGUG